rnacentral:rRNA from 1 species
GACGAACGCUGGCGGCGUGCCUAAUACAUGCAAGUCGAACGCAGUGGGGACGGGUGAGGAACACGUGGGUAACCUACAAUCUGAGGGGAUAACACUUGGAAACAGGUGCUAAACCGAUAUUGAUGGAUGGACCAGGGGUUCAUUAGGUAGUGGGUGGGGUAACGGCUCUCCAAGGCCACGAUGCAUAGCUGACCUGCAAGGUUGAUCGGCCAAAAGGGAACUGAGAAACGGCCCAGACUCCUACGGGAGGCAGCAGCUGGGAAGUUUCGGCAAUGGACGAAAGUCUGACCGAGCAAUGCCGCGUGAGUGACGAAGGUUUUCGGAUCGUAAAGCUCUGUUGUUAGAGAAGCGGUAUCUAACCAGAAAGCCACGGCUAACUACGUGCCAGCAGCCGCGGUAAUAC